rnacentral:rRNA from 1 species
GACGGUAACAUUUGGAUUUAGUUGAAGGCAAAUAAUUAAAGUGCCUGGACUGGGAGUUCGCAUGCGUGGGUAUAAGAAUAUAAAAAAAGGUGAAAGUAUAAUAUUACCCCGUGGUAUAGGUGUAGCUGUAGGAGGGAUAUAGGAGGUAACUANUCCGGUGNGNCCAGCCCCCCCCGUAUCGAGAGUAGAUANNNAUNUUUUUUAUUCAUCGGACGGGUGAGUAACGCGUGAGAAUCUAGCUCUAGGUCGGGGACAACCACUGGAAACGGUGGCUAAUACCGGAUAAGCCGUGAGGUAAAAGAUUUAUUGCCUAGAGAUGAGCUCGCGUCUGAUUAGCUAGUUGGUGUGUUAAGAGCGCACCAAGGCGACGAUCAGUAGCUGGUCUGAGAGGAUGAUCAGCCACACUGGGACUGAGACACGGCCCAGACUCCUACGGGAGGCAGCAGUGGGGAAUUUUCCGCAAUGGGCGAAAGCCUGACGGAGCAAUACCGCGUGAGGGAGGAAGGCUCUUGGGUUGUAAACCUCUUUUCUCAAGGAAUAAGAAAGUGAAGGUACUUGAGGAAUAAGCAUCGGCUAACUCCGUGCCAGCAGCCGCGGUAAUACGGAGGAUGCAAGCGUUAUCCGGAAUGAUUGGGCGUAAAGGGUCCGCAGGUGGCAUUGAAAGUCUCCUGUUAAAGAGUGAGGCUUAACCUCAUAAAAGCAGUGGAAACUACAAACCCAGACUGCGUUCGGGGGGGCAGGAAUUCCUGAAAAAGGGGUGAAAUCCCCCUGUUUUCUCGGGGGGGUGUAAUCGCGCGACAAUGGGAUUGAUACCACUGUGUCUGCGAGGUGACCGACCGG